GAGCCAGUAGCUCCAAUUGGUAGAGCCAUGGACUCCAACUCCGUGUGUUGUGAGGGUUCGAAUCCUUCCUGGCUCGC
rnacentral:tRNA from 1 species